AUUAAGUUCCCUCUGUAUGCAGAAUAUUGUGCAACAUGGUUAUGGGUACUACAGUGGAUGUGAGUGUGUAGACCUUGUACAAUAGAGCUUAUAGGCUAAUGAGAAGACAGGAAGAAACAACAGGAACACAUAUAGCUGGAAUGCAGAUGGGAUCUGUGCUACUUACGCUAGCCAUGGGAUGAUUAGAACAAGAUAAGAGACAUGAGGAAGACUUCUUCAAGGAGGUGCUCAAGCCAUGUUUUGGAAAAGAGAACUCAAGGUCUGGCAGGGAGAAAGGAGCAAGAGUAGACUUUGAGUCUUUGCUUCAGAUGCAGAUCAAGAUGUGGCAACCUGUUGUGGAGAACUGGGUCCCUUGAGCCUGUGCUGUCUCUUUUUUUCUGGUGGCUUUGUCAUUUGGAACAAUGCAUAAUGGGCUGGAGGCUGAGAAACUCUGAGCUGAGAGAUGGAGUCUUGCUUUGUUGCCCAGGCUGCAGUGCAGUGGCACCAUCAUGGCUCACCGCAGCCUUGGCCUCGUGGGCUCAAGCUAUUCUAUUUCAGCCUCCCAAGUAGCUGGGAAUACAGGUGACACAAGGAUGACAGGAACA
rnacentral:lncRNA from 10 species